rnacentral:rRNA from 1 species
CACAGUGCCUUAAUACCCUAAGGGCACUAGAUCCUAUCUGAUCAUGAAAGCUAAGCAGGGCCAUCUGUUGUUAGUGCUUGGCUGGGAGACCACCAUUGAAUCCCAGGAUGCUGCAG